GGGCAGAUGGCCGAGUGGUUAAGGCGCUGCGUUUAGGCCGCAGUAUCGCAAGAUGCGUGGGUUCGAACCCCACUCUGCUCA